GACGAACGCUGGCGGCGUGCUUAACACAUGCAAGUCGAACGGAAAGGCCCUGCUUUUGUGGGGUGCUCGAGUGGCGAACGGGUGAGUAACACGUGAGUAACCUGCCCUUGACUUUGGGAUAACUUCAGGAAACUGGGGCUAAUACCGGAUAGGAGCUCCUGCUGCAUGGUGGGGGUUGGAAAGUUUCGGCGGUUGGGGAUGGACUCGCGGCUUAUCAGCUUGUUGGUGGGGUAGUGGCUUACCAAGGCUUUGACGGGUAGCCGGCCUGAGAGGGUGACCGGCCACAUUGGGACUGGGAUACGGCCCAGACUCCUACGGGAGGCAGGAGUGGGGAAUAUUGCACAAUGGGCGGAAGCCUGAUGCAGCAACGCCGCGUGCGGGAUGACGGCCUUCGGGUUGUAAACCGCUUUCGCCUGUGACGAAGCGUGAGUGACGGUAAUGGGUAAAGAAGCACCGGCUAACUACGUG
rnacentral:rRNA from 1 species